rnacentral:lncRNA from 1 species
GUCGGCCGGAGGCGGGACAGAGGCAGGUCGGCCUGUCCGCCUGGACGCGGACCUGGGCGCCGUAGGUGCCCUGGGAAGCGCAGGGGUGGGGGGUACCCGGCAGGAAGGUGGCCAGGGGUGCUGCGGGUGCCGGCGCAGCGAGGGAGGGCACCGUGGGAGGCAAGGGCCGUUCCCCGCGCCGCGCACAAUGCGCCGGUCCUGCGGCCCUCCCCGAGCAGGAGUCCGGGGACCCAGGCCCCAAGGCUGGGAGAGCGCCAGGCCCCUGGCCGGCUGCGCUCCGAUGAUCUCCAGGACUUAAGGGGUGUGAAGGGCGCUGGCGCAGCCUCUUUGCUUAACACUGGCUCUGAGGAUCCCCCGCCGAGAAACCGAGGCAGGCUUGCGGCUCUGGGCUCGUCAGCCUUGGCAGUGGCGUCUGGCCUGGAGUCUGGGGCAGCUGGUUUGGGAAAGGCUGCACCACGCAACCGAGGGUGGGACCCAGAGUCCCUGCUCCUUCCCCACCGCACCCAGCCCACCCCGCCCUCCCUCCCUGAUCCCUGCAAGCCAGGUGAGGCCCAGGGGGGACGUGACUCCCUUUCUGCAGAGGCACCUCCGGAAGGGCCUGGGUGAGGCUGCUAGACAGGGCAGCGGGGCACCCUCCUCCCGGAGCCCCCGCCUCUGGGCUGAGGCUCGGAUCCCCACCGCCUCCUGCGCAUGGAGGAGGCGAGAAGCGCAGGGAGACGGGGGCCCCAGACGGCACCCCGCAGGCUGCCAUUCCUUCAACCAAGAUGUAGAGAACGCCGUGGACAAAAGCUUUAAAAAAAUUCUGAAACCUCUGCCCGUGGGAAGUCAACAUUUUUGCGGAGCAGAGAGCCCAGGCACAAAAUAAGAAGGCGGAAGAGACGGGCUGGGGGGAUAGGGGGGACGGCGGCGGGGAAGGGCAGGGAGGGCGGCGGCGAAGGCGCAGGAAGCCCUGAAGCCGGGCGGCUUCCCCCUCCCAGGCCACGCUGAGAGACGGGGGUUGGGGGGAUUUAAAAUCGCGCGCCUGGCAGGGGCGGGGCGGGGGCCACCUGCCCUCCGGCGGGAAGAGCUGGGCAGGGCCCGCGGAGUGCAGGGCGGAGGCACUGGCGGUCCGCACCCGGGUGAGGUGAGGCGCGUAACCGCAUCUGAGCCGGACUCUUUAGGACGAGUCCCGUCCCUGGAGUCAGAAAACCCGGUCCAGCGCCAGCGUGGACGUGCGCUUCCCGGGACACGCCCAGGGACGCCGGCUAGGACCGGCGAGGCUGGAGGGGUGGCGAUGUUGGGGGCUGAGGUUCCUCGCCCCGGGGCGGGCGGCUGCUGGUAAGGGACCGCAUGGCCCCGCAGGUGAGGAGGGCGCAGGUGAGGAGGGCGCAGGUGAGCCGGGCGGGCUGCGGGCAGCGCCACCUCCUCCCGGAGGCCCUCCCUGAUUGACCGGCCGGGAACCGCGCGCCUCUGGGCCUGCGGCUGAGGUCCGGGGCUGCGCCGCGCCGAUGAGCUGACGCCGGGCCGAGCGCUCCACCCCCAGGGCCGGGCGCACCUGAAUCCCCUCCACCCGCGGGACUGCGGAGAGGGGGACGGCCCCCGGAUACCGCGUGGGGGCUUUGGGAGGAUGGGGAAUGGGUCCUGGGGGAGCAGAGCCUCCCAAAUUAAGGCCUCCCAAGAGCGCGGCCGGUCAUCCGCGGCGGCGAAGGGAAGGUGCCCUGUCGGUGCGUCCGGACCCCGCAGCCCCCCAGUGCCGCCCGGGGGCGGUGGGAGAGGGGCCGACACCGCAGGGCCCGCCGUGCUGUGGCCGAGGGGGCAGGUCCAGGCUCUGCUUCCCGGGCAGACGCCGGAGACCCCAGCAAGCCAAGCAGGGGCAGGAAGGCAGCUGGGCCAGAAGGGGACACUGAGGCAGGCCGAGGCGGCCGCGGGGGAGGGUGCCAGGACCAGCCCAGGAACCUCGGAGACCACGGUAAGCGGUGGCUGGUUCAGAUCCCAACUCCGGAGCUGUGUGACCCCAGAAAGUUCCUUAGCCCCUUGGUGCCUGCAUCCCCUGACGUGUGACAUAUACAUGAAUGGGGCUGUUGUAAGUGAACGCACACAGCACACCGGCACAUGUGUCACAACACUUAGAUGGGUUUAGAUGAAGAAACAGGGAAACCUUUGGGAAGUUUCCUGUAGUCAAAGGAAGGUUUUCGUUUUCCCCCUCAACCGUGACUGUUUCUUGGGCCGGCAGGAUAGGCUUUUGUUCUAGGGGUGUGGAGAGAGGGCCCCUUGGCAGCGUCCAGGGCCAACUGGGAACCAAGCAGGAAUCGUAUUUGUGCAGCCUGGAGUUCGAGGCUCUGGGUGCGAGUCGUAGUGCUUAAGCAGGAAGCAGCUGCCUGAUGCCCCUAGCCCCAGGCCGCCCUGCUCUGCCGUUUCGAGGGCGUGGGGGUCUUCUGAUCUCCACCUUGAUGCACCUCCAGGCCCGGGUCCUUUUGGGGUCUGGCACAGCAACCUGCGUUUGACAGCAUGGGCGUCCGCUGAUGCUGAGAGCUCAACUUCUGGUCCAAGGAAGAUCUUUUCUCUUCGGGGAACAGUCAUACAUUGUUUAACGAAAAGGAUACAUUCCUUCUGAGAAAUGCGUCCUUAGGUGAUUUUGUCCUUGUGUGAACACAGAGUGCACACACUGGCCCUGGUGGCACAGCCUGCUACACGCCGAGGCUGUGUGUCACAGCCUGCUGCUCCAGGGCCACGAGCCUACGCGGCAGGUGACUGUGCUGAAUAGCGUAGGCAGCUGUGACUCACUGGUAUUUGUGUAUCUAAAGCCAUCUAAACAUAGAACAGGUGCAGUAAAAAUACCGCGCUGUGAUAUGGGAGCACUGUGGCAUUGCUUGUUGACCGAAGGUUAUGUGGUGCAUGACUGUAUGUUCGUUUCCUGUGGGCGCUGGAACUAACGACCUCACGCUUGCUGGCUCAAAACAACAGCAGUCUAUUCUCUCUCAGCCCUGGAGAGCGGAAGCCUGCCUGGUGGAGGCGCUAGGGGAGUAUCCUACCUGCCUCUCCCAGCUCUGGGUGGCCCAGGCAUCCCUGUGCUUAGCUCCAGCAGCCGCCUCAGUGGCCAUGUGGCUUCUCUGUGUGGUCAAGCCUCACUUUGCCCCUCUCUUAUGAGGACCUUUGGGAUGACACGUAGAACCCACCUGGAUGAUCCAGGGAGGCCUUCCACCUCAAUUUAAUCCCGUCAGCAAAGUCCUUCCUUUGCCACAUGAGGUAACAUUCACAGGAUCCGGGAAUGGGGACAUGGGCAUCCUUUGGAGGGUGGUUCAGCUGAGCAUGGGAUCAUGAUACAGGUCCUGUGUAUAAAAUUCAAAUACUUGGCAGGUCGGGCACAGUGGCUCACACCUGUAAUUCCAACACUUAGGGAGGCCAAGGUGGGAGGAUCACUUGAGCCCAGGAGUUUGAGACCAGCCUGGGCAACAGAGCAAGACCCCAUCUCUACAAAUAAUUUUUAAAAAUUAGCAGCGCAUGGUAGCAUGCACCUGUAGUCCCAGCUACUCCAGAGGCUGAGGCUGGAGGAUCUCUUGAGCCCAGGAGACGGAGGCUGCAGUGAGCUAUGGUUGUGCCACUGCACUCCAGCCUGGGGGACUAGCUAGACCCUGUCUCAAAAAAUAAAAAUUUAAAAUAAAAUACAUAGAGAAUCUCAAGGUGGUGUGGACAGUUCUGAGUGUUGGGGAGAGAACAAAAGAAGGAAAGUGCAUUUUGGGUGGCAGAAAGCCCCUAACAGAGCCUUGGGCCCCUGCUUUGAAGCAGCCCUCACAGAAACUGACCACGAGUUAUGUUGGGCCCAUGACACUGGUUCCCUGGGUGGACACAGCCUGAGCCCAGCCCGCCCUGUCUGGAGCUCUCACCACCCUGCCUGGCCCGUGCCCAUGGGCUCACAAUGGCUUCAACCCCAUUUAUGUGUCAGCUCAAGCAGGCCUCCCCAGAGGGCUCAUUUGCACUUGGAUGCCCUCACCUGUGCUCCCUCUGUGGCUUCAGGAACCCCGGGGUCAUUACAGAGCUUGCUAAAUUCAUCCCUGGACGUGAGAUGUGUGUCGUAAGCAUCCAGGACUGUCCCAAGAUGGGAGAGGCGUUCAGUCAUGUUCACUCAAGUGAAGGCUUCUAUUCUACUUCCAGAUACACCUUUUUAACCUUCAAAGGGUCCAAUUUUAACCUUUCUUCCACAAAGCAUUUUACGUACCACUAAUAGUCCCAGUGCAGACCCCAAAGUUCCCCUGUAAGAUUCAUUUCCUGUGAUUCGAGCACAGCCUGAGGCAGAGCUUUCUGCUGGGUUUAUCCUCACUGAGACUCAGACUGCAGAGGGCCAGGAGGAGCCCUGCUUUUUGCAAGCAAUACCACCUGGGGUAGGACCCACAAGUGACAUCCUUUGUGCGUGGAUCUGGCCUUGGCCUCCGCACCGUCUGUUCAGCAAGUCCCUCCUUUGCCUGCCAAGGCUGAGGUCCUGUACUUUUGUGUGUGGAUCUGGCCUUGGCCUCCGCACCGUCUGUUCAGCAGGUCCCUCCUUUGUCUGCCAAGGCUGAGGUCCUGUACUUUUGCAAAGGUCCAGGCUGUUUGGUGCAGCUACAAUCAGGGUGCGUGGUUUCUCUAUGAACGCAAACAGCGGUCUCAAGGGGAAGGCCCCGGCAGAAAGUGCAUCAUGCGGGACACGGUGCAGGCGCUCCGAAGACGCCUCCUGCUCACUUCUGGCCUCCACCCCCUGCCCUGCAGGGUGACAGAUGGCUGUGCCUACACAUAAAACACCAGACGUGACCAAUAACUAUCUUAUAAUAAAUAUACUCGAACUUCUCAACUAGAACACAGAAAUGCUUUCAGGAAGUACAUCGCGCACCACCACGUGUGGUCCUGUGUGCAGCGGCGUGGGCCUCGCCCCGUCCCAUGAGCCAGCGUGAUGGGGGAGAGACCCUGAGUCUCCAGAACCCAACGGAACGUGGGUCUGCAGUGACGACGGAGACGCAAAAAAACAAGAAUCCGAAGAGGAAAGAGACAACGUGAGGAAAGUUGCCUUUGUUCUAGGAAAAGUCUUUUUCUUCACAGUAUAGUGACUCAUUUAUAAAGAGGAAGUGAGUUCUGUUGAAAAAUACUUGAAAUAUUCUCUUAGGGGGAGAAAGCAGUUCUUCACCAGCUUGGUGGGCCACUUGGCCGCGAGCUUCGAGCUCUGCUUGUUCUGGGCCAGCAGGGACAAUUCUUCUUCCGAAACCAGAGCCCAGUGCCUGCUGCUGAGAGGAGGGGAGGGAAGGUUGUGAGCAAGCGCAGCGCCCACUGGGUGGCCCCGGAGAUGGGGCUGGGAAGGAAUCGCUGCGAGGGGGCGAGGGGAACAGCCUGCCUCUCAGUUGUCCCAGGUGCCUAAGACCCCCCCCCCGGAACCCCCGCCUGAUUCUGGGAGUUUUUCUCAUGGAGGUGGAGUGAGCAACAGGGGACCAGAUGACUCCCUUGCCUCCCGCCUCCCCCGGCCGGGGGCUGGUCCCCUGGGAAGCAGGCUGGGGGUCACUCCGUGUGAACAGCGAGCUCCAGGGCCAUCGCUAGAGGAUGUCACCAUCCCUGGGCAGCACCCCCGCAGAGGAAAGGACAGGACUCUGGGCAAAAGUUGGCCAAACCCUCGCAGAGUCAGCGAGCAUUCCCAGGGAAUUCUAUCACAAAGGCCGUCCCCUGGGUUCCUGGGGCUGCCUGUGCCGGGAGCCCCAGCCCUGGGUGCAGGAGGGCAGGUGGUGAGAGGAAAGGUCCCCUGCCAGCCUGCUGUGAGGAGCCCUUGAGGAAGACGGGCUUUGCAGACUUGGCACCAACACCCCCUCUCCUGCUCCCAGCCACCCCACUGGAGGCCAGGAACAUUUCUCAGUUUAUUUUGGGGUGAAGACUGCGAGUGAAGUGCCAGAUACAGUGUCCCCCUCCUCCUCCUCCUCCUCAGGCACCCUCCCUAGGGCAGUGGGGACUGUCCUUAACCAUCCUGGGGGUGAUGGUGGCUACCUCUGCAAAAGGAUUUCUCCUUUCAGUGAGUGGGUGUCUCUCAUGUCACUGUUGAGACACCCAGGAGCCUGGGAGGGAAACCUGUGGGAAGGAACUGCCAGCCUCCUUCUGGGAACCAGGUGACCCCAGGAUCACGGCUCAGGUGGAUCCAGCCCUCGAAACCCUGUGAGGAGCUCUGUGGAGCCUCGCUCAGAAAGGGGGGCUGGGAAGAAGCAGCUGCCAGCCCACAGCCCAAGCCUGCAGGGGCCACAAGUGUGGCCACUGGAGCAGAGGGAGGUGCCUUUUGUGGAGCAGCAACCCUGGGUCUGGCUGCACCUGCCACUUAAGAACCCUGAUGGGGCGCUGUUCUCACUGCUGUGUGGACGCAUAGAGCCUCCGGGGGCCAAGGAGCCUCUGGGGCCAGGCAGCAGGGGAAGCCAGGCCAGCAAGACCUGCAGGUGCCAUGCCUUGGCAGGUGCCAGGCAACAGGAUCGUGCCUCGGUGGUGACGUGGGAGAUGCUGGAACCGGGGAGGUGAGAGGGAGUAAGUUUCCAGAACUCACUCUCAGGCAGGAGGAGAUCAUGACUCAGCUGAGCCAGAAAGCGCUCGUUCCACACGAAUGCACGUAUGAGCGAGGCACGCCAGGCGAGUGUGGGAGUGAGGGGAUGGAUGGGCGGUUGGCUGGAGGUCGUGAGGUCUGGGCCGCCUGGAAAGGCUGUUGAGGGGCGGGGGCAGCUGGGAGAGGCUGUGGGGGCAGCAGAAGGGGGUGCUUAGCCGCAGAGAGGGCACGUGGGGAAAGGCCAUGUGUUCAAGGCCCCAAAAGGUGGGGAGGGCAGCCCAGGAGUGCACCGCAGGGGGUGCAAGCGUGUGGGUGGGUGAGACUGAUGCGUGUGUGCCUGUGUGAUUGUGAGCACAUGUGAACGUGUGGAUGCAGGUGGUAGUCGUGAGUGUGCUUGUGUGAGCAUGUGACUGAGGGAGCAUGUGGGUGUGUGGAUGAGCGUGACUGUGGGGAUGACUGUGUGUGCAUGCAUGAGCACACAGGUGUGUGGAUGAGCGUGACCGUGGGAAUGACUGUGUGUGUGUGCAUACAUGAGCACACAGGCGUAUGGAUGAGCGUGCAAGUGAGUCAUGUGAGUGUGGCUGAGUGUGAGCACGCAUGAGCUUGUGGGUGUGCAAGGGAGGUGGGGAGGCCACACGGAAUGAAAGCCUGGGGGCUGCAGCCGAUUCAGGGCCAGGCCGCCAUGGCGCAUAUGGGUGUCCAGGGGCUGGACCCCGAGAAGCUGAGAGCCAGUGCUGGAGAAGCUCCCCAAGGGGAAAGGGGCAUCCUCAGGCUUCGGUGUCUUCAGGGUCUCAGGGUGGCCCCGAAGGCCGACCGCAGUCCCACUGGGGCGCAGAGGCUGCUCUGGGCUUGGCUCUGCUAGACAGACCCCAUUUCCUCAGUGAACCCCGCUUCUGGGUCCAUGUUCCCCUUGACCCUGAACGCUUUCAGCUGCCCAGGAAAUACCUCCUUAUGGCUGGGAUGUUGCUCCACACGCGGACAGCAUUCUGCAAGGAUCCGCCGUGGACAUCUGGGAUGGUGACUGGCUCCAUCUGGGGGCGGGAGGGUCGGCCGUGGGUCAGGGGACCUGGACGGUAAGCGCCCCCCACAGGCCCACUGGCCUCAGCCGCCAAUGGCCCUGAGUGGUCAAUGGACUUUCUAGCCCGACUGUGUUCCCUACGUCCUUUUUUCUUAUGAAUCACCUUUGGAGAAAAAUGCUGAUGAAUUAUUUUAAACUGACAGAACAGACUCUGUGGCAAUAAGAUAUCAAAUUACAAACAGGACCUCAGGCCGCGCCAGGCAAGGGUCGAGCCGAGCCGCGUGCCCUACACUGAGAGGACGGACUCUGCCCUCACGCCACAGCUGCUGCUUUUUCUGCAGCGGCUAAACACGCACUGGCCCCGCGAUGAGGAUGAGCAAGGUUCAAAUGACUGCAGCUCAUCCACCUGCAGAUGCCAACUGACCACGUUCCACAGCCAUGACCACAGCUCUGACUGGGCAGGAGACUGACUUCAGGAACCUCCUCCUGAUAAGGGACCCCGACCACAGACUGGCUCCGGCCGGUUUACAGAGGUUGUGCGCUUGAGGGCCUGUGUCCUGAGAAGACCUCUGAGGUUUAGGGCCUCAUUGCGACACACUGACAUGAUAAGACUCCACCCCGGAGUGAACAGAGGUCGUAAGUUCCACGGAUUUUGUUCAGUACGCACGCAGCAGGACCCCCUUCAUGAAUAUUCACCGCUCCUCCAUAACCUGCCGCACAGGUUUAGCCAACCCGGUCAGCACGGAGCUCCUGCCCCAGCCACCCCUCCCCUUCGAAGUGCCUCCUCCUGGCUCCUCUGGUCUUGGUGGAGGCCCCGUGCUUCCCAGCCUGGGGGACGGGACCUUGCAGGCUGUGCCCCUUUACAGAAACAAAGUCUCCUGUUCUAAAAGCACAGACUUUGUGAUUUUCAGCUCAUGGCGUUUGCUCCCCUUCUGAAUAGCUGGAUUUGCAUUCCAGCCACUCCACGAGAUUCCAGCACCAAAGGAACCUCAACGCCACCUGGACCCCCAGCAAAGGCUCUGGCCCACAGGUGCUGCCCACUCGGUGGGUCGGGCCCCCGCUGGCUGUGGCCCCUCCAUGGAACCUGAGAGCAUGAGGAAAUUCCCCCUCCUGAGCCUCACGCCUGUCUCCUGUGGCUGAGGUGUGGCCGUCCCUCCCCAACCCUGGAAGUGUCUGGAACACCCGGCCCAUCAGCCCCAGAGGGGACCCAUCCGCUGAGUCCAAAAGUGGCUGCUCUGACAAUCAGGAUUCAGACGUGUGAAGAAAAGGCUGUAUGUGUGUGGUGUGAGUAUGUGUGCACGUAGUGUGCCUGUGUGUGUGUGGCAAGUGUGUCCCUGUGUGUGGUGCAUGUGUACAGUGACUGUGCACUGCAGUGUGUGUGCACCUGUGUGUGUGGUGUGAUGUGCGUGUGUGUGGGUGGAGACUGAGGGGGCAGGGGCAGGAGGUGAGCCCCCGAGGCCGUGUUCUGUGAGCACAGGAGUGGUGCGAGGUGGGACUGCCCUCCCAUGCUGUCCUUGAAGGGGCUUUGUGUCCCAGGCCGCAGUCCCUGCCCGGACUGCACAGCAGCUCUCCUGGGCCCUGUACACACCUGGAAACCAGGGGCCGCAAGGAGCCAGGCCCGGAGCCUGGGGUGUAGACUGAGCUCCACCAGAAAAGCCCCUCCCUCACGUGGGCAGGGGUCAGAGGGCGGCCCACGCAGCCCUGCACGCACCUCCAGGAAGCGAGAUGCGACGUCCAGGUCUUCCUUGUUCAGCACCAGAUUGUCCACGAACAUCCAGAAGAAGGGCCUGGGGCUGCCUGGCUUGGGCCGUGCGUACUGCAGGAGCCGGUGGAACUGGAACAGCAGCAAUGAAGCCCUGCCCAGUGCUGGGGCCACAGAGGUGCAUGGACCCCUCCUCCCCCAGGCAGGCCUAGAGUGGGGAAGAGACAGACAGGCAACCCCGAGGGAGGAGCUGACGCAGAGCGCGUGCCGCGGCACAAAUACCGCCUUUUAGAGGAAGCUCCAGAGGACACGUGAGCUGCAGUGAUGUGGGCACGCUGGGGGCUGCAUGGGGUCAGCGGGAGGCUUGGGGGCACAGGGAAGCCUGCAGUGAUGGGGACUCUUACUCUGUUGCUCUCUUACUCUGAUGAGGGGUGCAUGGGUGUGGAGCUAGCUCAGAACUCAUCCAGUCGGACACACUGAAUGCGUGCAACUUACUGUAUGUCAGUGGUGCCUCGAUAAAGCUGUUUUUGAAAAAUGCUGACAAUUUGCAGUUUCUGCCCUGGCAUGGAGGUGUGAGGAGAGAGGAGAGGAGACAGGGGUGGUGGGGACAGGCUGCCAGAACUGAAGCAUCACUCACUGGGAGGACGGUCACAGGUGUGGCCCAGGGGAGGUGUGGCGCCGUACACAAGAUCGAAGGGUCCCCACUCCUCCACCUGCAGGACAGAGGGGAGUGGGCACUGAGAGGCAGCAGCAGUGGGCAAGGUCGCGUGCGGCAGCACGAGAUGACCCCAGGGCAGACCCUGCUCAGCUCGCAGGGCCCACAGGCCAGGGCAAGCUGAGGAGUGGAGCCCACUAGGGCAGAGCCAUCCACAGCCACCACCAGCCUCAGGGGCUGCCUGCCUGGAGCCCAGAGGAGAAAGCUCCGGGUCUGAGGUGAAGACUCUGUGCCAUGCAUUUGGGGACUGAAUUCUGCCUUUAUUUUUUCUUGCUCAAAUUCCUUUCUAAGGAGCGUAGGGGAAUCACGCCUUACAAACCACAAAAGCUUGUGGAAUGGGUGUUUUUGACCUGGUAUAUUGUGACUCUGCCAUGGCACCACAUGACAGACAGCAGACCUCCUUAUUUUAACUCAAGCAUUCCUUUCUACUGACUCCCAGUUUUUAGGCAAAGCUCAACUCUUUCAACCAACUGCCAACUAAAGAAUCCCUAAACCCACCUAUAACCUGUAAGCUUCAAGAUAUCUCGCCUUUUGGGGCUGAUCCAAUGCACAUCUUCUAUGUAUUGAUUUAUUGAUUGAUUGAUUUUUUGAGAUGGGGUCUCACUCUGUCACCCAGGCUGUAGUGCAAUGGCGAGAUCUCGGCUCACUGCAACCUCUACCUCCUGGGCUCAAGCAAUCCUCCUGCCUCAGCCCCCUGAGCAACCCCAGGUGCACAUCACCAUGACUAGCCAACUUUUUUGUAUUUUUGGUAGAGAUGGGGUUUCACCAAGUUGCUCAAACUGGUCUUGAACUCCUCAGCUCAAAGUGCUGGGAUUACAGGCGUGAGCCACCGCGCCCGGCCCGUGUACUGUUUUCUGAUUCCACCUGCAGUUCGCAUCUCCCUGAAAUGUACAAAACCAAUUGUGCUGGGAGUGGUGGCUCACGCCUGUAAUCCCAGCACUUUGGGAGGCAGAGGCGGGCGGAUCACGAGGUCAGGAGAUUGAGACCAUCCUGGCUAACACGGUGAAACCCCGUCUCUACUAAAAAUAUAAAAAAAUUAGCCAGGCAUGGUGGCGGGCGCCUGUAGUCCCAGCUACUCGGGAGGCUGAGGCAGGAGAAUGGCAGGAACGCGGGAGGCGGAGCUUGCGGUGAGCCGAGAUCACGCCACUGCACUCCAGCCUGGGCGACAGAGCAAGCCUCCGUCUCAAAAACAAAUAAAUAAAUAAAUAAAAUAAAAAUAAAUAAAUACAUAAAACCAAAUUGUAACUGACCGCCUCAGGUGCACUUCCUCGGGAUCUCUUAAGACUGUAUUUCCCAGGCCAUGGUCACUCUUAUUGGCUCAGAAUAAACCUAUUUAAAAACUUUGGCAGAAUUUGGUUUUUCUGUCUGUCCUCACAUUGCCCUUAGAGAACCAGUCCUGGGAGGCCCAACAUGCAGACUACCUAGGGAAGUAACUGUCAUCUGUGAACACAGCAGGUGCCGUCCGCAGCCCUCCAGGAGCUAACAGCAAGGGCAGAGCCUUCCCUGCUGAACAGAAACAGCCCCCACAGAGUAGCUCCCUGGGGACCACAGAGUAGGUCCCCACAGGCUAUUCCAUGGCCGAGCUGGAAGAAGACAAAACACAGCCACCCAACAAUCUUGCCUGAACACAUGCCCUUCAGUCACAAAAAGUGACCAAGGGGAGGCUGUGAGCAACACUGGCUUCAUUAACAGUGAUGGCCCUCACUCUGUCAUUCUUAUUAAAUAAAAAUUAACAGCUGGACGUGGUGGCUAACACCUGUAAUCCCAGCACUUUAGGAGGCCAAGGCGGGUGGAUCACCUGAGAUCAGGAGUUCAAGACCAGCCUGGCCAAUAUGGUGAAACCCCGUCUCUACUAAAAAAUACAAAAAAUUAGCUGGGCAUGGUGGCGGGUGCCUGUAAUACCAGCUGCUUGGGAGGCUGAGGCAGGAGACUCGCCUGAACCCUGGAGGCGGAGGUUGCAGUGAGCCCAGAUUGUGCCACUACACUCUAGCCUGGGCAACAGAGUGAGACUCCAUCUCAAAAACAAAAAACAAAAAAGCCCCCCAAAACUUAAGAUAGUCAAGUAUCAGAACCCCGUCUCCUGAUAGCACCAGUCAACAAUGGACUCCACUUCCCUGGACCCCCUCAAAUCACAUAACAGCCCGAAUCCCAUUAGCCCCAAACUCCUCAUGCCUCCGGGGCAUCAUUUUGUGUCCUUCCACGAUGUAGCAAGUGGAUAAACCUAACUGUUGAUGGCAGGUGCAACCUGAGGGUCUCCGAGUGCCGAAAAGGCAUGGUGGGGUGGGGACAGCGGAGGUGAGGGGGGGCUGCUGGUCCCAGGCCGGGAGCCCCCAAAAGACCUGUACACAGGUGGCUGCUCAUGCUUCUCUCACAGUGGCAUGGGAAGGCACCAAGGCAGCGGGGAAUCUGGCCUACAGGGGGAACGCACGACUGGAGCUGUGUCACCUCCUUCCAGCAGCGGGAGGAUGCUUUCAAACAGUGACCAGUUGUCCAGGUCAAGGCUCGGCCUCCUCAUUUUAGAGGGUGGAGUGGGGGUUCAGCCCCUCCUUGCCGGACAGCGCCCCAUCACAGGCAGUGGAAUUUGGCUACUUAGAUUUCAAGAUGUUGGACAAGAUGUUUGCCCAACUGCCCUGCUCUGAGCUCUGGGCUCUGGGCUCUGGGCAAUGCUGGGACCACCAAAACGUGCUGCUCAGCCCUCCGCUGCGGGGCAUCACAGUGGUGGCUGGGCCGGCGGGGUUGGGCUGACUCCUGUCAGACCCAGGAUCCCCACCAGGCUGCCGAGAGGCCCCCGUGUGUUCAGGACUCCUCCCAGCCCCUGCUGCCGCCUCCUUGCCCGCCUCAUCCUUGGCAUUUCCUCUGAGGAAGCUCGCACCCCCGCUCCCACUACAGUGUCUGAGAGUUCACGGCGGUACUCACAUCCUUCCUCACUGUGUCUGUGACAUCAACCACAUGCUUCAGUUGUCCCGGGUCAGAACCACUUUCCAAAAAGCCCAAACUCGUCAGCUCUGGAUGGGGAGAGACCAGAAGGGCCCAGAGGGUGAGCGUGGAUUGUGCCCCUACAGGGACUCGAAAAGGCUGACGGACGAUCAGAGGACCCUCCUACCAUUAAGGAGCCAACUGUAUAUUUUUGUUGUUGUUGUUUUGAGAUGGAGUCUCCCUCUGUCGCCCAGGCUGGAGCGCAGUGGCGUGAUCUUGGCUCACUGCAACCUCCGCCUCCCAGGUUCAAGCGGUUCCCCUGCCUCAACCUCCCGAGUAGCUGGGACUACAGGCAUGUGCCACCACGCCCGGCUAAUUUUUUUGUAUUUUUAGUAGACACAGGGUUUCACCAUGUUGGCCAGGCUGGUCUCCAACUCCUGACCUCAAAUGUUCCGCCCACUUCAGCCUCCCAAAUUGUUGGGAUUACACGUGUGAGCCACUGCACCCCGCCCAACUUUAUCUUUUUAAUGACGUGGCAGGAGGAUUAAGGAUGGAGGUUUUUGUCUCACAACAAGCUAAACAAGCAAACAUUGCCAAGUAUUGAUUUAAGAAUGUCAAGCACGGCCGGGCACAGACGCUCAAGCCUGUAAUUCCAGCAUUUUGGGAGUCCAAGGCGGAUGGAUCACCUGAGGUCAGGAGUUCAAGACCAGCCUGGCCAACAUGGUGAAACCCUGUCUCUACUAAAAACACAAAAAUUAGCUGGGCGUGGUGGUGAGCACCUGUAAUCCCAGCUGCUCGGGAGGCUGAGGCAGGAGAAUUGGUUGAACCCGGGGGGCAGAGGUGCAGCGAGCCGAGAUCAAGCCUGGGCAACAGAGCGAGACUCCGCCUCAAAAAAAAAAAGGAUGUCAAGGACUGUAUUACAGCACCAGGCAUUUCUGGGAUGCGAUGUCACCUCUGGCUAGGAAAUCCACAGAGCAGUGGAGUCCACUCCACUCUGCAGCUGGUGUGAGCUGCAGAGCCCUGGAACGGCCCUGGAGGAGGCCCUGGCUUUCUCAGCCCCUCCUGGGCAGCAAGACCUUGGACAGGCUGUGCAGGCGCUGCGGGAUCAGGCUCCUGAUCGGCUGCAUGGGGCAGAUAUGUGCUCCCGCAUGAGGCCGCUCUGAGACACUUGUGGGCCUUAGUGGGUGUCCCAGCGGGACACAUCCCUAACGGCCAGAGGAGAGGGAGUGUCUUCAUGGAUUUGGCUGUGCCUGCGGGGCCCAGAAGACAAGUGCCAUUUCCAAAGGCCCCAGUGCAGGGUUAGCAUGGGCCCAGGGUGGGGAAGGGUACAGGACAUCAGCAGUUGGCCGGUCUAGGGGAGGGGGUGGGGAGUCCCGGGGGGUGGCCUGAGGGGCAGUCAGGUGUUUAGAGGCAUCUUUCCAUGUGUGUCUUUGGGACAUCACUGACUCACCUUUCUUGAUGUCUUCAAAAAGGGACAGCACCCGGACUGGCUGUCUCCUCCACACAGGCACGGUUUCGAACAUCUCAAGGGGAUUCUCCUAUUUAUUAAAAAACCAAAACAGGACAUUGUGCCGGCUACUUGGCUACAGAGCCCUUGAGUUACAAUGAAAAUUCUUCCCUGGAUGAACACUCACUCGAGACUCACCGGAGACACACAUAAGACACACCUGCUGAGGCUGACUGGGCCUGUCCUGACCAGCACUGCCCCCCCAGGAAGGCCAACUCCACCCCCUGCUCCAGCCUCAGUCUCCCGCUCUGACCUGUCUCCAGCCGAGAGACAGUAGGUGUGGAGGGGUUUGCUGAUUUUUUUUUUUUUUUUUUUUUUGAGAUGGAGUCUUGCUCUGUCACCCAGGCUGGAGUGCAAUGGUGCAAUCUUGGCUCACUGCAACUUUCCGCCUCCCGGGUUCAAGCGAUUCUCCUGCUUCACCCUCCCGAGUAGCUGGGAUCACAGGCACCCGCCACCACGCCCGGCUAAUUUUUGUAUUUUUAGUAGAGACAGUUUCACCAUAUUGGCCAGGCUGGUCUUGCUCAUCCUGGCAGCUUCCAGAACCUCGGAGAAGAGAGCCCCAAGGCCAGAGAUGCCGGGGAGAGGUGAGCCUCGGGGCAGGUGAGGCCUGUGGUUUUCCCUGACCCUGCCAACCUGAUGGGCUAGGCGGGCAGCCAGCUCCAGCCUCACAUGCUCCCUGUUAAAGGGCCAACCCCCAAGGCCCAAAACUCGGGGGCCUCGGCUUUCAGAGUGCUAGGCUCUGUUCCUAUAAAAUACCUUCCCAUCUGACCCUUUCCUUCGAAUUGGAGCAGGCUGAAGCUUGCUAGGCAGGGAGAGAUGACUUCGUUCAACCUUAACAAAUGUGAGCUGGAGGCCAGUGCAGUUUCAUGGUCAGCUCAGGGGUCCCUUGCUCCCCGCUGGCUGCCUCACCGGGGGCCACACCCCUUCUGUAGGAGCUUCCCGUGGCUGGCCUGCAAAUUAAAACAGACUGGAGGGGCUGGGCCCGGUGGCUCAUGCCUGUCAUCCCAGCAUUUUGGGAGGCUGAGGCAGGUGGAUCACUUGAGGUCAGGAGUUCAAGACCAGCCUGGCCAACAUGGUGAAACCCUGUCUCUACUAAAAGUACAGAAUUAGCCGGGUGUGGCGGUCGGUGCCUGUAAUCCCAGGUACUCAGGAGGCAGGAAGGAGAAUCGCUUGAACCCGGGAGGCCGAGGUUGCAGUGAGCCAAGAGGGUGCCAUUGCACUCCAGCCUGGGCAGCAAGAGCAAAACUCCAUCUCAAAAAUAAAAAAAUAAAAAACAAGGCCGGUGCGGUGGCUCACGCCUGUAAUCCCAGCACUUUGGGAGGCCGAGGCGGGCGGAUCACGAGGUCAGGAGAUCGAGACCAUCCCGGCUAAAACUGUGAAACCCC